CUACUGAGAUCAGUGAUGCAACUGGAGUAAUAUCUUAGUUACCCAUGAAACCUAGGAAUAGAUUAAAGCCCAGAUCAAACGAGAAUGAAUGCCGAUGAAAGAAAUUCAUGAUAGCGUUGGGAUAGCAUUUAGAACAGCUAACCAGAUCACGUGAUUGCCAACUCUCGUGCACUCUCAUGCGUCCUAGUUUGAUUCGGGCUUAACUAAUACAAUUUUUGCAAACAGCUAAUGGAGCCACUACACCGA